UCUAUUUUCUAUACCACCCUGAACACACCCGAUCUCGUCUGAUCUCGGAAGCUAAGCAGGGUCGGGCCUGGUUAGUACUUGGAUGGGAGAACAUUUGAGACCUUUAAGUAACAACAAAC
ensembl:rRNA 5S_rRNA 5S ribosomal RNA